rnacentral:rRNA from 1 species
GGUAACAUCAAAUCGUACCCCAAACCGACACAGGUGGUCAGGUAGAGAAUACCAAGGCGCUUGAGAGAACUCGGGUGAAGGAACUAGGCAAAAUGGUGCCGUAACUUCGGGAGAAGGCACGCUGACACGUAGGUGAAGUGAUUUACUCACGGAGCUGAAGUCAGCCGAAGAUACCAGCUGGCUGCAACUGUUUAUUAAAAACACAGCACUGUGCAAACACGAAAGUGGACGUAUACGGUGUGACGCCUGCCCGGUGCCGGAAGGUUAAUUGAUGGGGUCAGCGCAAGCGAAGCUCCUGAUCGAAGCCCCGGUAAACGGCGGCCGUAACUAUAACGGUCCUAAGGUAGCGAAAUUCCUUGUCGGGUAAGUUCCGACCUGCACGAAUGGCGUAAUGAUGGCCAGGCUGUCUCCACCCGAGACUCAGUGAAAUUGAACUCGCUGUGAAGAUGCAGUGUACCCGCGGCAAGACGGAAAGACCCCGUGAACCUUUACUAUAGCUUGACACUGAACAUUGAGCCUUGAUGUGUAGGAUAGGUGGGAGGCUUUGAAGUGUGGACGCCAGUCUGCAUGGAGCCGACCUUGAAAUACCACCCUUUAAUGUUUGAUGUUCUAACGUGGACCCGUGAUCCGGGUUGCGGACAGUGUCUGGUGGGUAGUUUGACUGGGGCGGUCUCCUCCUAAAGAGUAACGGAGGAGCACGAAGGUUGGCUAAUCCUGGUCGGACAUCAGGAGGUUAGUGCAAUGGCAUAAGCCAGCUUGACUGCGAGCGUGACGGCGCGAGCAGGUGCGAAAGCAGGUCAUAGUGAUCCGGUGGUUCUGAAUGGAAGGGCCAUCGCUCAACGGAUAAAAGGUACUCCGGGGAUAACAGGCUGAUACCGCCCAAGAGUUCAUAUCGACGGCGGUGUUUGGCACCUCGAUGUCGGCUCAUCACAUCCUGGGGCUGAAGUAGGUCCCAAGGGUAUGGCUGUUCGCCAUUUAAAGUGGUACGCGAGCUGGGUUUAGAACGUCGUGAGACAGUUCGGUCCCUAUCUGCCGUGGGCGCUGGAGAACUGAGGGGGGCUGCUCCUAGUACGAGAGGACCGGAGUGGACGCAUCACUGGUGUUCGGGUUGUCAUGCCAAUGGCACUGCCCGGUAGCUAAAUGCGGAAGAGAUAAGUGCUGAAAGCAUCUAAGCACGAAACUUGCCCCGAGAUGAGUUCUCCCUGAGACUUUAGGUCUCCUGAAGGAACGUUGAAGACGACGACGUUGAUAGGCCGGGUGUGUAAGCGCAGCGAUGCGUUGAGCUAACCGGUACUAAUGAACCGUGAGGCUUAACCUU